GACGAACGCUGGCGGCGUGGUUAAGACAUGCAAGUCGAACGGGACCCGCAAGGGUUCAGUGGCGGACGGGUGAGUAAUGUAUCGCUAAUGUGCCCCGGAAUCCGGGAUAGCUAGCCGAAAGGCUAGGUAAUACCGGAUGAUAUACCUUGAAGGCAUCUUCGAGGUCUCAAAGGAGUAAUCCGGUCUGGGAGCAGGCGAUAUCGUAUCAGCUAGUUGGUGAGGUAACGGCNCACCAAGGCGACGACGCGUAGCCGGGCUGAGAGGUUGGCCGGCCACAUUGGGACUGAGACACUGCCCAGACUCCUACGGGGGGC
rnacentral:rRNA from 1 species